GAUGAACGCUGGCGGCGUGCUUAACACAUGCAAGUCGAGCGGAAGGACGAGACGCUUGCGUGUCGGAUGUUAGAGGCGGGAGGGAGAGUAACGCGCGGAUACCGUACUUAUAAGUAUGGUAGCGAUUCGUGAACCAGUAGCUAAUACGGUAUAAUAUUUUGAAUCGGGUGGUUCAAAAGCUAAUGACGGUCGUGCUGUCAAUUAUAGAUGGAUCCGCGCUGCAUUAGCUAGUUGGUAAGGUAACGGAUUACCAAGGGAACGAUGCGUAGCAGAACUGAGAGGAGGAUCGGCCACACUGGAACUGAGACACGGACCAGACUCCUACGGGAGGCAGCAGUAGGGAAUCUUCCGCAAUGGGCGAAAGCCUGACGCAGCAACGCCGCGUGAGUGAAGAAGGCCUUCGGGUCGUAAAGCUCUGUUAUUAGGGAAGAACAGAUUGAGAAUUAACUGUGCAGAUAUUGACGGUACCUGAUCAAAAAGCCCCGGCUAACUACGUG
rnacentral:rRNA from 1 species